AUUGAACGCUGGCGGCAGGCCUAACACAUGCAAGUCGAGCGAGCGGCGGACGGGUGAGUAAUGUCUGGGAAACUGCCUGGUAGAGGGGGAUAACUACUGGAAACGGUCGCUAAUACCGCAUACUAUCAGAUGUGCCCAGAUCGGAUUAGCUAGUUGGUGGGGUAAUGGCUUACCUAGGCGACGAUCCGUAGCUGGUCUGAGAGGAUGAUCAGCCACCCUGGAACUGAGACACGGUCCAGACUCCUACGGGAGGCAGCAUGGGGGAAUAUUGCACAAUGGGCGAAAGCCUGAUGCAGCCAUGCCGCGUGUGUGAAGAAGGCCUUCGGAUUGUAAAGCACUUUCAGUUGGGAGGCGUUACCCGCAGAAGAAGCACCGGCUAACUCCGUGCCAGCCGCCGCGGUAAUAC
rnacentral:rRNA from 1 species